rnacentral:rRNA from 1 species
AGUGAACGCUGGCGGUAGGCCUAACACAUGCAAGUCGAACGGCAGCACAGUAAGAGCUUGCUCUUACGGGUGGCGAGUGGCGGACGGGUGAGGAAUACAUCGGAAUCUACUUUUUCGUGGGGGAUAACGUAGGGAAACUUACGCUAAUACCGCAUACGACCUACGGGUGAAAGCAGGGGAUCUUCGGACCUUGCGCGAGUGAAUGAGCCGAUGUCGGAUUAGCUAGUUGGCGGGGUAAAGGCCCACCAAGGCGACGAUCCGUAGCUGGUCUGAGAGGAUGAUCAGCCACACUGGAACUGAGACACGGUCCAGACUCCUACGGGAGGCAGCAGUGGGGAAUAUUGGACAAUGGGCGCAAGCCUGAUCCAGCCAUACCGCGUGGGUGAAGAAGGCCUUCGGAUUGUAAAGCCCUUUUGUUGGGAAAGAAAAGCAGCAGGUUAAUACCCCGCUGUUCUGACGGUACCCAAAGAAUAAGCACCGGCUAACUUCGUG